ACACGACUCUCGGCAACGGAUAUCUAGGCUCUCGCAUCGAUGAAGAACGUAGCAAACUGCGAUACUUGGUGUGAAUUGCAGAAACCCGUGAACCAUCGAGUCUUUGAACGCAAGUUGCGCCCGAAGCCAUUAGGCUGAGGGCACGUCUGCCUGGGCGUCACGC
rnacentral:rRNA from 1 species